rnacentral:lncRNA from 1 species
UUGGGUGUCACAGGUUCCUAGGCUAAAGCAAUGAAGAUCAAAGUAUGCACAUCUAAUCCAAACCAUCAUCCACAAUUUCAAGUUCAUAGAGAAAGAAAGUAACCAAACUUAGGGGAAAAACUCCAACAAUAACAAUGAUACUACAUGCUCAACUCAAACUAGUGCAACAUUUUUUUUUCUCUUUUUUUUUCUUUACUUUUUUGCUUUUCUUUUUUUCUUUUUCAGCAGCACCCUUUUUUUUUAUAUAUAUCUCCAAUCAACAUGCAAUCAUCAUCUACAAAAUAUCUCCACAAAUCAUAUCCCAAACCCAUCUGAAUUCACUGCCACUGUUUGGCCAAACGGAUCACAAACCCUUUAUCAUCUAGCACAAGACAGCAGUUUGGGCAAACAGCACAUAGAAACACAGCUUAACUUUCUCUAGUAAUUAAUGGAAUGAAGUUCAAAAUUAGACAUGCAUCACUGGGCC